GAGGGAGUCCCUCCCUCUAAAAGCACUCUGUGUGGGGAACAUGAGAGCCAGACCAAAGCUCAGAGGAACCAGCCUAGACCUCCACCCAGCUGUGUGUCCUGUAAGAGUGACUGGUCUAAAGGUCAACCCAUUGAUUUUAAAGUCCAGCCUGUGUCUGCUGCAGAGAGAGGUCAGAGGUCACAGUCUGCAGGGUCCAGCUGUCCGUCUGUGAGGAGUGACCGGUCCA